GGAUGUCGCCAAGCGGUAAGGCACUGGACUCUGACUCCUGUAUCCGUAGGUUCGAAUCCUAUCAUCCC
rnacentral:tRNA from 1 species